UAUUUCUGCCUGUCACUUAACUGAUUAUUCUAAAUCAAGUUCUUUUGCUUGCUUACAUGUGCUUUCCUAAAAGUUGCAUUUCAUAUGCAAGGGAGUAAAAGGUUUGGUCUUGUCAUGAUUUCCCUUUACUGAGAUUCAAGAGGUCUUGGAUUUGGUUUAGAGAUUCUCUCUCUACAUCUCUUUCAAGAAGGAAAGCAGUAUCUAUUGCCAAGCUUUUAUCUACAGAACUGUACGGGAAUAUAUUUUUUGGGAGACUGAGAAAGUAGUAAAGGAAAAAGAAUGCUCUCGCGGAAAGGAACAAGAAUGCUGAAUAGGGGAGGAUAAUAAUCGAUGAAGAGAUGAAGUGGCUUGCAACAGAGAAUGUGGUCAGAGAAGAUUCAGCAGUAACUCAAAGAUCAGAUUGGAAGACUGACCCAAACUGGGGGACAAACUGAAGGAGAAGAGGGAAAAGGAGGAUGGAAGCUGAAUUGCUGGCCUGCUAGGUCUUUUCCCAUCAUAUCAUCACAUAGUCAGGCAUAUGCAUUAGUAUACAUUUGGGUUGUCCUGCUUAUCUUUUGUUGCUCAAGAAAUUUCAAAAUCCGGUUCCACCUGAGUUGGUG